rnacentral:lncRNA from 1 species
CCCCUUUUUCAUUGCAUUAAAACAACAUAAGUAAAGAGAGAAAUAAGUGAAACUUAUAUACAAAAAAUUUAUCAUCAUCUUGUUGCUAAGCUUAACACACCAUAGAUAUGGACACCAAGAUGUAUAAUUUUUAGGUUUAUAUCUAUGAUUCAACUACCCAAAAUUGUGAUGUUGUUGACAAUUGCAAUACAAGAAAAAUAUCUAAAAACGAGUUAGUAGCAAUUACUUACCCAGAUUAAGAUGAGUUGAUGAUGAUUUGAACUAAAAUUCAAAAGACGAGCUCAAUAUAUGCCCUAAUAGCUAAGGAGUAAAA